GGGAUCGUGUAGAGCAAUUGAAGCAGUGACUAGCCCCAGUAAACGCGGCCGUAACUAUACCGUCUAAGUAGCGAAAUCCUGUCGGGUAAGUUCGGCCCCACGAAAGGCGUAACGAAUUUGGCACUGUCUCACAACCAGACUCGGUGAAAUUGUAAUACCGGUGAAGAUGCCGGUUACCUGCGACAGGACGGAAAGACCCCAUGGAGCUUUACUGUAGCUUGACAUUGAGUCUCGGUGCUACAUGUACAGGAUAGGUGGGAGACUAUGAAGCAUGGACGUCAGUCUGUGUGGAGUCAUCCUUGGGAUACCACCCUUGUAGUACUGGGAUUCUAACCAGAGGCCAUGAAUCUGGUCUUGGGACACUGUCAGGUGGACAGUUUGACUGGGGCGGUCGCCUCCCAAAAAGUAACGGAGGCGCUCAAAGGUUCUCUCAGUACGGUCGGAAAUCGUACGAAGAGUGUAAAGGCAAAAGAGAGCUUGAUUGCAAGACAUACAGGUCGAGCAAGGACGAAAGUCGGACUUAGUGAUCCGGUGGUUCCGCAUGGAAGGGCCAUCGCUCAACGGAUAAAAGCUACCCUGGGGAUAACAGGCUGAUCUCCCCCAAGAGUCCACAUCGACGGGGAGGUUUGGCACCUCGAUGUCGGCUCAUCACAUCCUGGGGCUGUAGUAGGUCCCAAGGGUUGGGCUGUUCGCCCAUUAAAGUGGUACGCGAGCUGGGUUCAGAACGUCGUGAGACAGUUCGGUCCCUAUCCGUCGCAGGCGUAGGAAAUUUGAGGAGACCUGUCCUUAGUACGAGAGGACCGGGAUGGACGUACCGCUGGUGUACCAGUUGUUCUGCCAAGGGCAUGGCUGGGUAGCUAAGUACGGAAAGGAUAAGCGCUGAAAGCAUCUAAGCGCGAAGCCCACUUCAAGAUAAGAUUUCCCACCGCAAGGUUAAGAUCCCAGGAAGACUACCUGGUUGAUAGGUCAGAGGUGUAAGUGCAGUAAUGUAUUUAGCUUACUGAUACUAAUAGAUCGAGGACUUGACCAA
rnacentral:rRNA from 1 species